GGCUGGCUGGCUCAGUCGGUAGAGCUCGUGACUCUUGAUCUUGGGCUCAUGUGUUCAAGCCCCAUGUUAGGCA
rnacentral:tRNA from 1 species